rnacentral:lncRNA from 1 species
AGAACUUCCACAAAAAUUAUGUAUAAGAAUAUCUUGAAAACCACGCAGAAGAUCAUGGAAUAUUUGUUUUCUUUGCAUCUUGAAUAUGGCGAUUAUACAUUUCAAGAUGAAACAAGUGACGGGGUAAGAGACUCCAAGCAAUGAUAAAAGUUGUGUGGCUUUUAUUUAGGAUGCUGUAUCUAUGAGCUGCUGGCCACGAACAUGUUCUUGUAUUCCUGCAGCAAGCGGUAUAUGGUGCGAUAGGGCACGAUGUAGAAGACAUGGCCUGGGUUCAAGAGAGUGUCGGGGUGGACCACGAUCCAUGGGAAUUUGAAGACAUCAGGGCGAGUGACUAGGUGUCUAGGGUUCCUAUUCAUGAUUUGUGAGGCCAAAAUUGGGCUUGUGUGGAUCUCCACUGACCCACCUGGGUGGACCAUCUUCAGUAUCCCUUCUUCGGCCCUUACCCUGUUCAUCCGCUCGAAAUUACAGAUAAAUAGAUAGAUAAAUAGAUAGAGAGAGAAAGAGAGAGGAGGAGAGAGAGACUUAGGAUAGAGAGGUAGAUAGACUUAAACUUGGGAUGGAGAGAAAGAGAGAGAGAGAGGAUUUGAUGGUUUUAAAAUGGUGCUCUGGGGGUUUGGGAGCUUAGUAAGCAUCGAAUGAGAAAUGAGAUUGCUAAA